UACUCCUACGGGAGGCAGCAGUGAGGAAUAUUGGUCAAUGGGCGAGAGCCUGAACCAGCCAAGUAGCGUGCAGGAUGACGGCCCUAUGGGUUGUAAACUGCUUUUAUAAGGGAAUAAAGUGAGCCUCGUGAGGCUUUUUGCAUGUACCUUAUGAAUAAGGACCGGCUAAUUCCGUGCCAGCGAGCCGCGGUAAU
rnacentral:rRNA from 1 species